rnacentral:rRNA from 1 species
UACAGAGGUCCCAAGCGUUGUUCGGAUUCAUUGGGCGUAAAGGGUGUGUAGGUGGCGCCGUAAGUCGGGUGUGAAAUCUCGGGGCUUAACUCCGAAACUGCAUUCGAUACUGCGGUGCUUGAGGACUGGAGAGGAGACUGGAAUUCAGGUGUAGCGUGAAAUGCGUAGAGAUCAUGAGGAAGACCAGUGGCGAAGGCGGGUCUCUGGACAGUUCCUGACAGUGAGACGAAGGCCAGGGGAGCAAACGGG